GGAGUUAGCCGGUGCUUCUUCUGUGAGUGAUGUCCUUCCUGCCGGUUAUUGACCCGCAGGCCUUCUUCCUCACUGAAAGUGCUUUACAACCCGAAGGCCUUCUUCACACACGCGGCAUGGCUGGAUCAGGGUUGCCCCCAUUGUCCAAUAUUCCCCACUGCUGCCUCCCGUAGGAGUCUGGGCCGUGUCUCAGUCCCAGUGUGGCUGAUCAUCCUCUCAGACCAGCUACGGAUCGUCGCCUUGGUGAGCCGUUACCUCACCAACCAGCUAAUCCGACAUAGGCUCAUCCGAUAGCGCGAGGCCCGAAGGUCCCCCGCUUUCCCCCGUAGGGCCGUAUGCGGUAUUAGCCUGGGUUUCCCCAGGUUAUCCCCCACUACCGGGCAGAUUCCUAUGCAUUACUCACCCGUCCGCCGCUCGCCACCAGGGAGCAAGCUCCCCGUGCUGCCGCUCGACUUGCAUGUGUUAGGCCUGCCGCCUAGCGUUCAAUCUGAGCCAUGAUCAAACUCUGA
rnacentral:rRNA from 1 species